rnacentral:lncRNA from 1 species
UUAUACUAAAGCAAAAUAGUGUUGACUAUUUGACCAUGAUGUGGCUAUUCUCUUUGGCCAGAGAAUUGGGUUUUAGGCGACAUUUCUCUCAAUUCUCACAAUUAAUUCAUUCUUCUUUCAAACGCUUCUUAGAUUAUAUAUGGAAAGUUGAACGAUUCAUCAAUUACCGGAAGAUCUGUUGCUAAAUUAUGGAACCAUUUCCAAUUUUAAGGCCUAUAUACAAUUUAGUGCUUUUAAUCGGAGGAUUCAAAGGAUCAUUCAAGUCGGCUGCUUUGUUUUAUCUUCAUCAUCCUUCUAAAGUGAAGCAUCGGUAUGGAUCGUGGCUUUCUGGUUCAUAUGACGGAUCCGUAUAAAUCUGAAUUGAUCUCAACAACAACAAGAAGUUUUGACCUGGUUGCUUGAGCCUUUAGGCCAUCAGCGGACUCAACUCGAGUGGAAAAAUACAUAUUUACAGGUCUGGUUAAACUGCAUCAUGUGUUCUAUAUCCAUUGCCUUCUCAUCAUCUGUUGUAAGUUGUAACAACAAGAAGUUUUGACCUGGUUGCUCGAGACUUUCAAGUUUGUGAUAGUUGGAAGUAGAAAUGCUGAUAGGAAUUUCGUCAAACAUGGGAUGACUGAUGGAAAUUUGGUAAAAUGAGGCAAGAUGGUGUUGCCAUCAGACCGAAAGUUGUUAUAACAAUGGCGAUGGUUUGGUGGUUUCAAGCCAAGCAGAGGCGGUGAUGGUGUUCAGCGAAUCAGCGGCUGCUUGAGAUGACUGGUUUUGGUUAUAGUUGAUUUUAAGUGACAAGCGACUAGGGUUCCAAACGCGAUCUCCUGGUUACAGGUUGGUGAGUGUGUUGACUAGCGACAAUGGUUUUUGACUUCGACCGUGAGGAUGGAAGGCACCUGGUUCAGAAUACGGAACUGCAUGUCGGCUUCCCCGCCAAUUUUAUAACUAGGUUAACAUUUCCUCUUUCUUUUUUCUGAUUUUCUCCGCAAUUUUUGUGUUUUGUAACUUAAUUUUCGCAAUAUUUGAUCAUGUCUAUAAGGUAUUUGAUGAAAUGCGCUGCUGGGUUAUCUCUUAAUAAAAUCUUUCUAACUUCUGUCAUGUGUUUAAUGGGUUUGCAUGGAACUGAUUGAUAUAAAUCUAUAAUAGUUUCUGAUGAUUUGUGUGAAUAUAUGCUUCUGAGUAUUCUAAAAGUUGGUUUAUAUCACAACUAAUUGACAAAACAUAUUGGAAGCUCCAAUGGCAUUUUAUUGUUGACAACAAGAUCAGGUCUCACAAGACGUACCCUGCUGGUUUCAUGGAUGUUGUUUCUAUUCCCAAGACCAAUGAAAGCUUCGGUUUUCUUUACGACACAAAGGGUAGAUUUAGACUGCACUCAAUCAGAGACGAGGAGUCAAAGGAGAUGGAUGCUCUGAAAGACAAGAAUUUAGUUGCAAUUACUCUGCAACAGAGGAGCUACAGAGGAGCUACCAUACGGUCGAUGGGUUGUGUCCAUCUGCUCUGCACAUUGCGAGACGACACGAGCCAUGUGCUUUUGUGGUGAAGGAACCAAAUACCCGAAUCGUCCUGUUGUUGAGUCAUGCGGGUUUCAAAUAUAGUAAGCCUAUGAAUUAUAGCUUUCCGUUCUGGGCAGGUUGGGUUUGGGUUGACCCAUGAACAUUUUUUCUAUUAAAAUAAUAUGUUAAGUAUAUAUUUGAUUCAUCUGAGAUAUGAUGUGACUCAAUUCGACCCAUUCACAAGUAGGUGAGUCAGAAUUGCCACCUUUACUAAUUCAUAAAACCAACCCUCUUAACCAACUUACCUUCUGAACCUGGUGCACCAAAGGCAGUUAACUGGUCAAAAGUUGACCAUGAAAAUAUAUACAAAGAAAAGCGUGCUUGGUUGGUGUAAUGUAGAUCUGGUUGAAGCUUAUAAUUCGAAGGUUGAGAGUUUCCAAUAUCUACCGAAACUCAUGGAGAGCAGAUGUUAUCAUCACUUCAUAAAUGGGUACAUCCUUACGGGUCACUCAAGGUUAUCUGAUUGUUCUUGCUGUGAUGAAGGUGGAUCCAUGUGGAUCAACGGGUUUGAUUUUGAGAAGAUGCAUGAUGUAGAGGCUGAAAGAGUUCCUGAAGUAUGAAUCGGGUGUCCAUAGAGUUCAAAGCGAUCCUAAAAAGACUUCAACUGCCACCGUGGCCAUCUUGCCAAUGGGAUGAGGUGGUUAGUGUCACUUUGUGGGACGAGUAUAUAUAUAGAGGACAUGCUCACCCUUUGCGCGUGAGCCUUCGACGGGUCAAACACAGUUUGUGUUGUGCACAUGGCCCUCACAGGCUAAGGUAGAAAUUGUUUCGUGUUUCAGCAUAUAGAAGGUCUUUCACGUAUUUAAAUGGUCAGGAUUUUUUACAAUUUGUAUAAGAGUUGAAGGAAAAAACUUAAGGGAUCGGACUUUUUAGGACUGAGCAUAUGGUAAUCUUUUCAAUGUUCUCAUCUCUGAUGUGAAUAUAUUCACAUCUAUUAUAAUCGCUAACACAUAUUCGAUUCGGGUUAUUUCAACUUUUGAUAAUUUCAGUUCUUUGCUUCCACUGAGAGGAUAAAACUGUAAGAAAAAUGAUCAUGGCCGUCACUGUGGAGCAGAAAGAAGCAACUCUGAACCUCUUACUACCUUAUCAGAGAGCUGAUUUCGAGGGUAUUUUUUGAGCAAUGGAUGAAAGCAGGUCUGCAAUUGAUAUUUUGUUAAAAGCAGCAGGAUACCUUGAUUGUGCAGCAAGGCAAAUGCUUCCUCAAUUUCUUUCCAAACACAGGCGAGACAUGCAUGUGGACCUUACUGGAGGGGUUUUGACUUUUGAGAGCACUUUGCCUUCAACCACUUGAACAGGUUGGGUCGACUUGGAAUCCAGAGUUCUCGGGCGAGUUCACGGUUAGAUCAAUGAGGAAAGCUGUGUUUUCGGACGAUGUAAAUGCAACGCAAGUCAAUAACUUUAUCUGUGCCAGGUGGGUUCUUGCGAAGGUUUUUUGCUCUAUGUGGUGUUUGGUGCAGGAGAUGAUACCAGUCGCCGAUAAUCUUGCUAGAAAGCGCAAAGCGGGUUAUUUUAAUUUCAGCAGAUUACAACUUUUGCUUAUCGAAAGCAGAAUCGUUCGAACACGCGAUUUACAGUUAUUGGGCCUUAAAAAGAUGUGGUGGAAGUUAGCAACAUGGACUGGCUUGGACUGGAUGGGUAAAAGGAGGAAGAUUGGGUGUUAAAAAAAGCUUUAGAGGCAAGAUCAAGCAACCCUUGAAGACAUUCAGAUUCAAUCGUUUAACUGGAUUAAAAGAAGAUCUAGAUGGAAAUAUCUGGACUUGGGAAUAUGGAGAAGAUCACCAAAGGAAUGUAUGUGGAUUGUUGGUAUGGUAAUGUCUUUUGAAUUUGUAUAGGGGCAAGGGGUGCCAUGUAGUUUGGUUGGCUUGGUUGAUUCUCUGUGGGUGUGUAGUUUUUGUUUUAUGUACUCUUUGUUUGUUCUCGCUGAUUCUUUUAUUUAAUUUUAAUUGUGGUUAAAAAGUGACAUCUUUAGUGAUCCGUUUAUUGUAUACACCAUCAAAAUAUAAUCUCAAAACUAAAACUCACUUCCCCUGUCCUUUGAUGGUUAAUGUUUAUCACUCCUGACCACAACGAGGAAGGUGUUAGUGCAUGCAUCUGUCGACUUCGUCUUGUAUCGAGUCUUAGUCUUAGA